CAACAAAUAAGAGAUAAAUAACAUGUACUUUAAAUAUUUACCCUACCUACUGUGUAAGCCAGCGUUUCUUAACCUGACGGUUGCAUCGGUCAGAAAUAAUUAAACAUUUUGUUUACAUUAAAAAUAAAAAAUUAAUACAUAACCAUUAUUAAUGGAAAAAUGAAGAAGUAAGAGUACAAUAUAAUAAUAAAUGUAAUAUUAUUAUAAUAUAUUAGUUUUAAUUAUAAGGGAGGGGGGGUCGUAAGGUAACUGACUUUAUCUUUUACCUAUUUUGGGGGUCGCGACAUUAAAAAGGUUGAGGAAUUUAUUAUUAAGAUUAUCAAUUAAUUUAUGUUUCGACACGUAAAUGGUGAGCAUUAUAUUAUAAUACUAGUUGAUAAAAAAAUUAAGACAUAAUUUAGCCUUUAGGUUUUAGAUUCGGAGCGUAGUAAGGGAUCUAAUGGUUUUAUUAUAAUGUGUGUUUUUUUUUGUAUUUGUGUGUAUUUUUAAUUUAGAUUAUGAUUUCUUUUUAUUAAUACUUCUUGAAUAAGCUAGAAUUGAAGGAAAUAUAUGAUAUGAUAAGGAUCCAACAAUUUGAUGUUGUAGUGGGCCCAUGAAUUGGUAAAUCAGUGCCUGGGUAGGUAUUCGUAUUUUAAUGGAUGUUAAAAUAAAAUUCAUAAAAUUAAAACCAGUUCUGUCAUAUGUCGUGCACCAAGUGGCGCAUAAUGUUUGGUUAAAAUUCGGUUGAACGUUUAACUGUUACUAAUUAUGUGCAUAAUAAUGUUUUAUAAUCAUUUAUCUUAGACUUAGACAUCCAUACUAAAAAUUUGGUGGAAGUAUAAAUAGGCUAAUGGUACCUAAUAAUAUAAUGUAACCGGAAGCAAUUUUAAUUGCAACUACACAUCACACGUACCUAACAGUGAUUACAGUACUCGCCGACAUUUGUUUAGCCGACUACUAUAGUUUCUUCGACGCGUAAACCGGUAUCUGGUAAUAAUAGAAAAAGUUCUUGUUUCACUUGUUUUUCUUCUUUUAAAUUGUUUAUACAAUAGGUAAAUGGCAUAAUUCUAAUUUAGCUGCGAUUUUUGUAUUUUUCUAAAAAUUGUCAUCAAAAACUAUACAAAUUAAAAAAAAAAAAAAAAUGUCUG